rnacentral:misc_RNA from 1 species
AAGGAGCACCACGAAACCCUGGCCGGUCCACAUUGUGUGGGGUGCCGCGACCGUGGGUGAAUCUGUGGAUGGCCGUCGCCUGUAGUGGGUGAUGGUCUGGUGCAUAACGUUGUAAAACAAACUCAAAAACCGUGUCCUGGUUGGUCUUUCGAGGCUGGGUGGGAUGUUCGGGGUCAUCAAGCACACUGUUGGGCUUUGAGGCAGCAGCCUUGCGGCGCCAUCCCCCUUUGUGUGGGGGUGUUGCGCCGGCCCGCAUCGCGAUGGGUGUCUGGUCCUGUUUGGGGUCAGGUGGUUGUCGGUGGUGGUGGGUGUUGUUGUCGCUCCAUCUUGGUGGUGGGGUGUGGUGUUUGAUUUGUGGAUAGUGGUUGCGAGCAUCUAGCGCCAAGAGUUGGCUCGGGCCUUUCGGGGUUACGGGUGAUUUUUGUGUGUAUCUGAUGUGCAAUUUUUGCUCAUUUUUGGUUUUUGUAAGUGUUAA